UACCUAGUUGAUCCUACAGGUAGUCAUAUGCUUGUGUCAAAUAUUAAGCUAUGCAUGUCUAAGUAUGAACUAAUUCAGACUGUGAAACUGCGAAUGGAUCAUUAAAUAUGUUAUAGUUUCUUUGAUGGUACCCUACUACUCGGAUAACCAUAGUAAUUCUAAAGAUACUAUGUGCACCAAAUCCUGACUCUUUGUAAGGGAUGCAUUUAUUAGAUAAAAGGCAGACGCAGACUUUACUGCUUCUCCGGUGAAUCAUGAUAAAUCGAUGGAUCACAAAACCCUUGUGCUAGUGAUGCUUCAUUCAAAUUUCUUCCUUAUCAACUUUUGAUGGUAGGAUAGAAGACUACCAUGGUGGUGACGAGUGACAGAGAAUUAGGAUUUGAUUCGAGAGAGGGAGCCUAAGAAAUGACUACCACAACCAAGGAAGGCAACAUACAUGAAAAUGACCUAAUCCUGACAUGGGGAGGUAGUGAAAAUAAAUAAAAAUAUUGGGCUCAUCAAGUCUGGUAAUUGGAAUGAGUACAAUCUAAAUUCCUUAAUGAGGAUUCAUUGGAGGGAAAGUCUGGUGCCAACAACUGCGGUAAUUCCAGCUCCAAUAGCAUAUAUUUAAGUUGUUGCAGUUAAAAAAAUUGUAGUUGUAUCUUGGGUCAUAAAGUUCGAUCUGCCUACUCGGUGUGCACCUACCCUUCCAUCCCUUUUGUCGACGACGUGCUCUUGACCUUAAUUGGUUGGGUCGCAGUUUUGACGCUGUUACUUUGAAAAAAAUAGAGUUCUCAAAGAAAUAUUACGCUUUAAAUACAUUAGCAUGGAAUAACGUGAUAGGAGCCUGAUCCUAUUGUGUUGGCCUUCAGGACUUGAGUAAUGAUUAAUAGGGAUUGUCAUGGGCAUUCAUAUUUCAUUUUCAGAGGUGAAAUUCUUGUAUUUAUGAAAGAGGAACCACUAUGAGAGCAUUUGCCAAGGAUGUUUUCAUUAAUCAAGAAUGAAAGUUGGGGGCUCGAAGACAAUCAUAUACUAUCGUAGUCUCAACCAUAAACGAUGUCGACCAAGGAUCGACAUAUGUUUCUCUAAGGAAUUCACCAACACCUUAUGAGCAAGAAUUAAACUUAAAGGAAUUGACAGAAGCGCACCACCAGGAGUGGAUCCUGCAACUUAGUUUGAAUCAACAAAGGAAAAAUUAACAAGUCCAAACAUAGUAAGGAUUGAGAGAUGGAGAGAUAUUUCUUGAUUCUAUGGGUGGUGGUGAAUGGAUGUUCUUAUUUGGUGGAGUGAUUUUUCUGGUUAAUUCUAAUAAUGAAUGAGACCUCAAUCUACUAAGUAUAUGUGGAGGUUCAACUUCAUGACCAAAUUCUUAGAGGGACCAUGGCCAUUUAGGCCAUGGAAGUUUGAGGCAAUAACAUGUUUGUGAUGCCCUUAGAUGUUUCGACCCACACGUGCACUACAAUGAUGCAGUCAACGAUUUUUUCUCCUUGGUUCGAGAGGAUCGAUAAAUAUUCUCAAAUUGCAUCAUAAUGGGGGUAUACCAUUGAAAUUAUUGGUCUUCAAUGAGGAACUCCUAGUAAACAAGUGCCAUCAUCUCAUGUUGAAUACAUCCUUUCCCUUUGUACACAUCUCCCAAUGCUCCUACCGAUUGAAUGAUCUGGUGAAGUGUUUGGAUCACAUCAACAAGGGUGGUUCACCACCAAUGACGUUGUGAGAAGUUCACUGAACCUUAUCAUUUAGAGGAAGGAGAAGUUGUAACAAGGUUAUCUUAGGUGAAACUGUGGUAGGAUCAUUG
rfam:Picea glauca, whole genome shotgun sequence.